AAUGAACGUUGGCGGCGUGGAUUAGGCAUGCAAGUCGCGCGACAAGCCCCGCAAGGGGUGGAGGAGCGGCAAACGGGGUAGUAAUGCGUCGGAACGUACCCUCAGGUCGGGGAUAGCCAGGGGAAACUCUGGGUAAUACCCGAUGACCUCGCGAGAGCAAAGGUCCGCCGCCUGAGGAGCGGCCGACGUGGUAUCAGGUAGUUGGCGGGGUAAUGGCCCACCAAGCCUUAGACGCCUAGGGGGCGUGAGAGCGCGACCCCCACCACUGGGACUGAGAUACUGCCCAGACACCUACGGGUGGCUGCAGUCGAGAAUCUUCCGCAAUGGGCGCAAGCCUGACGGAGCGACGCCGCGUGCGGGAUGAAGGCCUUCGGGUUGUAAACCGCUGUCAGAGGGGAUGAAAGCCGCAAGGCUUGACAGAGCCUCAGAGGAAGCACGGGCUAAGCUCGUGCCAGCCGCCGCCGUAAAAC
rnacentral:rRNA from 1 species